UCUUCUCGCCUGGUCGAUCGCCUCCUACCUCGAUCGUGCGGCUUCGGCUCCCAGUGUCUCUCUGGCCCUCUGCUACGAGAAAUCGUGCCGUAAUAUUGCCAACAUCGUCGUCAAUUACCUCGGCGAGAUUGACGCCGACCGCCUCCUCUCCAUCGUCGGCAACGCCAGGAGCCGGAACGGCACCAUAUCCUGCUGGCUUGAAUUAACAGUAUGGAGCACAAACAGAUUCUCUGAAGGCCCCUCAGAGAUACAUCUAUUGGGUAGUGGUGGAUGGACAUCCACUUUAUGAGAACAAGGAAAAGCUGGCCCUCCAUUUCCCUGCUUUAAAUUUGAAUCCAAGAAUGGUAAGCCAAGGAUUAUGAUAACUCCGAAGCUGACAUUUGCAAAGCUUCUACUAGGGAGUCGCCAAAAGACCUGCUCUGGAUUGACCCUCCAUACCCAACCGGGAAAAGGAAUCAAAUAGUCUUAUGCUCAUGAGAUGAUCAUUUCAGAAUGAUAAGACGAAGACAAGAAUGGUACUGAUUGUGGUGGGUUAUGCCCUCCAAUGUUCCCCAUCAGUAAUGAAAUUUUUAGGCUCACAACAUUGGUGGAUCUCAAGGAUUGUACCUAUGGUAAAGAAAGAAAAAGAUGAGAAGAAGGAGAGGCAUCAUAUUAUGGAAAAUGUUGGUAACAAAUUUACCUUUUUUCUCAUUAAGGUUAGGGUUGAUAACAAAUAGGAUAGGAUACUAGUAAAUUUUACCUAAUCCAGAAAUUUGAAUCAUACCAGAAAACUGGUUUGUGUAUUAAUUUAAUCAAAAAAUAGAAUUUAAUAUAGGAUCACUAAAAGGUAUGGAAAAUGUUGGUAUUGAAAUAACUUGAAUUGCACAAUUAUGCAUGGUCCAUUUUUUAAGAAAUAAGAAAAAAGAAACAUUCACAAAGAUCUUUACUUCAACUCAUUUAGAAGUUCAAAAGCUUAAAAUAUUACUAGACAUAAUAUGUUUGAAUUAUAUCUAUUUAAAUUUCUGUUGAAAACAAUCACUGAUUAUUCACCUAUUUACUUGCAUAUACUUAGUCACUGUUCUUUAAAUUCCUCCCUCAUAUUGUCCACAUGACUUUGAGAUAACUUUUCAGAGAGGUGAAGAACUCUGAUUUCCUGCUGUGCAAGCUAUGUAUGCAGAAAAAUCGUGCCUUGGGGGGGGGCACUCAUGGAAUCUCCUUUUGUUUUGGUGUACACACUUCAUUGAUUUCUUUGUUUAGUACGACAGCAGAAACAGUCAUGACAAAUCAUUACUGCCCAAAAGAAUAAAAAGGUUUAUAGUAGGGAAUAAUUUUGAUGCUGUGAUCAUCAUUAGGCAUCUCUGACAUACGAGGAAUCGGAAUAGUAGUUCUUACAUUCUUAUCAAUUUGAUUUAUUUUUUUCAA